CCCGCGACAAGCGGUGGAGUAUGUGGUUUAAUUCGACGCAACGCGCAGAACCUUACCUAGACUUGACAUCCCGGGAUUUCUGGAAACAGAGAAGUGCUUUAGCAAUAAGAACCCGGUGACAGGUGCUGCAUGGCUGUCGUCAGCUCGUGUCGUGAGAUGUUCGGUUAAGUCCGCUAACGAGCGCAACCCUCGCUGUGUGUUACAAGUGUCACACGGAACUGCCGGUCAUAAACCGGAGGAAGGUGGGAUGACGUCAAGUCAGCAUGGCCUUUAUAUCCUGGGCUACACACACGCUACAAUGGGAAGGGACAAUAGGUUGCGAAGCCGCGAGGCGGAGCCAAUCCAGCAAAACUUCCCUCAGUUCAGAUUGCAGGCUGCAACCCGCCUGCAUGAAGUUGGAGUUGCUAGUAAACGCAGGUCAGCCAUACUGCGUUGAAUACGUUCCCGGGGCUU
rnacentral:rRNA from 1 species